AUUGAACGCUGGCGGCAUGCCUUACACAUGCAAGUCGAACGGCAGCACGGGGGCAACCCUGGUGGCGAGUGGCGAACGGGUGAGUAAUGCAUCGGAACGUACCCGGAAGUGGGGGAUAACGUAGCGAAAGUUACGCUAAUACCGCAUAUUCUGUGAGCAGGAAAGCAGGGGAUCGCAAGACCUUGCGCUUUCGGAGCGGCCGAUGUCGGAUUAGCUAGUUGGUGGGGUAAAGGCCUACCAAGGCGACGAUCCGUAGCGGGUCUGAGAGGAUGAUCCGCCACACUGGGACUGAGACACGGCCCAGACUCCUACGGGAGGCAGCAGUGGGGAAUUUUGGACAAUGGGGGCAACCCUGAUCCAGCCAUGCCGCGUGAGUGAAGAAGGCCUUCGGGUUGUAAAGCUCUUUCGGCCGGGAAGAAAUCGCACGGGAUAAUACCCCGUGUGGAUGACGGUACCGGAAUAAGAAGCACCGGCUAACUACGUGCCAGCCGCCGCGGUAAGAC
rnacentral:rRNA from 1 species